rnacentral:lncRNA from 1 species
AGGCUGGAUUUGCUGGUGAUGAUGCACCUAGGGCAGUCUUCCCUAGCAUUGUAGGCCGACCUCGUCACACAGGUGUUAUGGUUGGGAUGGGCCAGAAAGAUGCUUAUGUUGGUGACGAAGCACAGUCCAAGAGGGGUAUCCUCACCCUGAAGUAUCCUAUUGAGCAUGGAAUUGUCAGCAACUGGGAUGACAUGGAAAAGAUCUGGCACCAUACCUUCUACAAUGAACUCCGUGUUGCUCCUGAGGAGCAUCCUAUACUGCUCACCGAAGCCCCUCUUAACCCAAAGGCAAACAGGGAAAAGAUGACCCAGAUAAUGUUUGAAACUUUCAAUGUACCAGCUAUGUAUGUUGCUAUUCAGGCAGUCCUUUCGCUCUAUGCCAGUGGCCGUACUACUGGUUAGUAUCUUGUGAUCGCUUGCCUGAUGUGAUGGAGUUGGUCAUUCUUUUUUAUUUUCAACUGAGAUGCCCAAGCUAAAUGCCAUUUUGACAGGUAUUGUGCUUGAUUCUGGUGACGGUGUCAGCCAUACCGUUCCUAUCUAUGAAGGAUAUGCUCUACCUCAUGCCAUUCUUCGUUUGGAUCUUGCUGGUCGUGAUCUCACGGAUUGCCUGAUGAAGAUCCUGACAGAGAGGGGUUAUUCAUUCACUACCACUGCAGAACGGGAAAUCGUAAGGGACAUCAAGGAGAAGCUUGCCUUUGUUGCUGUUGACUAUGAACAGGAGCUGGAGACUGCCAAGACUAGCUCUGCUGUGGAGAAAAGCUAUGAACUUCCCGAUGGGCAGGUUAUCACGAUUGGGGCUGAGAGAUUCAGGUGCCCGGAGGUGCUCUUCCAGCCAUCGUUGAUCGGCAUGGAAGCCGCUGGAAUUCAUGAGACAACAUACAACUCUAUUAUGAAGUGUGAUGUGGAUAUCAGGAAAGAUCUGUAUGGCAACAUUGUGCUUAGCGGUGGAUCAACAAUGUUCCCUGGUAUUGCCGAUCGCAUGAGCAAGGAGAUCACAGCGCUUGCACCAAGCAGCAUGAAGAUAAAGGUG